CACAAGUGACAUUUUUGCCACUCAUUAAUUUUGUUGGGAAAAAUCCAUUUCCAUCUAGCUCAUCGAUGACAGUAAGAGAUUUGACACAGCCCAGGUUUUGUGCAGGUGCUUGAUAAGGGCUAGACCAGGCACCAAAAACACCGAGAGAGAAUGCUGAACAGCCCCAGCCUGAGUUGGCGGGGUUGCAGGAGAAUGGAGAGAAUCAGGUUAGCUGAUUUGACCUCCAGCAACUCGCAAGUGCUGUCCAGUGGCCCAGCCCAGUAGUCAGGCCGGAACCUCAUGGUGCCAUCGUUUCACAACCUCCCACCCCAACCCCUCUGCUGGGGCUACAGAACCAGUCCUGGAAACCUGAGGUCUGUGUACCUCCAAUCCACGUAUCCUGGCUGUGGAUGGCUUAUCCCCCAGCCACUCAGCUUUCAACCUGUAAGCCCAGCAGCUGUAGUUAAGUAUUAUCGUUCCUAAGAAAGGCUUCUCAGGAUUAAGAAGUUUCACCAGCUGCCCAGAAACCACUAGUGAUGAACGAUAGUUAUAAUUGGGCACUUCCCCAAAGCAAAAAAUAAACAUUGUGAACUACCUUUAUCAGAUCUGAAUCCUAGGGACACUCAUUUUCAGAAAGAAAGUCCUACAUGACAGACACAGAGCACAUUUCAAAUAAACCAUUUUUCAAAUAAAGAUCAAAAUAAGAGGCAAUAUUCAAGUGCUAUAAUGAACAACAAAAUUUUUAGUAUAUGACUAUGUAUUUUCUCACAAAUAGAAAAAGGCCUGAACCCAUAAAAUAGUUUAGAUGGGGUAAAACCAGGGCUUCCAACAUUUCUCUCUCUGUUAACUGAACUGCAGGUGGAAUUAUGAAAGGGUGCAAGCCAAUGUGCAUUCAGUGGGUCUCACGAUAGGUGAAGCAUUAUGCUAAGUGAAAGCCCUCUCCAUAACUCCACAAGGUUCAUAGACAGUGCUGUAAAAAAUAAAGUGGUUAGGUUGUUGGAAUAGGCUAAAUAAUCCUCCAUCUAUCAGUAAUAAAAACCUAUUUUCUAAUCUUGCAAUUUAAAAAAUUGCUU